CCUACGGGAGGCAGCAGUGAGGAAUAUUGCUCAAUGGCCGGUAGGCUGAACCAGCCAUGCCGCGUGAAGGUCAGUGCCCUAUGGGCGUUAAACUUCUUUCGUGCGGGAGCAAUAAUGCUCACGUGUGGCCAGACGCGAGUACCGUACGAAUAAGCAUCGGCUCACUCCGUGCCAGCAGCCGCGGUAAUACGGGGGGUGCUAGCGUUAUCCGGAUUUAUUGGGUCUAAAGGGGGCGUAGGCUGGGAGGUAAGUCAGCGGGGGAAUGCCCCCGCUCAACGGGGUGAAGUGCCAUUGAUACUGCCUUGCUGGAAUGCGGGUGCGGUGGGAGGAAUGUGUGGUGUAGCGGUGAAAUGCGUAGAUAUCA
rnacentral:rRNA from 1 species